CAUAUUUUUGAAUAACCGAUUGAACGUUAAAUUUUUUUAAUUUAAGAUAGCUGUUAAUAGUUGUCCGUUGUAUGAGUGAUAAUCCGGAUUUUGUAAAACAUACUUUAUUUCAAAGUUUCAAGAAUACAGCGAUAAAACGUGGGGAAAUAAUGAUAGAAUAAGUUUGUUAUUAAUAAAAAUGAAUAAAAGCGGAAAGAACCGAAGAAUUAAAUCACAAACAGUAUAAAUGCGAGAUAUGUAUCGUUUUAAGAUGCUACCGAAUCUGACAAAUACUCAACAUCAAGUGAACGAUGAUACUAUUGUUUUGACUCUAAGUCGGGAUUUAUAUUUUUAUUAAGUUUAUAGCCCGUUGUUAUAAGAGAUAUUAAAUAUCUAAAAAAAAUAAUGCAGCUUUCUUAUCGUUGGAAUCUUAUUUUUAGAAACAUAUGACCUGUUAACAUUUUUAAAAUACAACCAAAAUUUGAUAGUUCUUUUCAUACGUAAGUGCUUUAUGAACAUAUGUAUUCGUAGUCCAUCGAAAUAUAAUAUUUUUAAUACUUGUGACGUUAAAAAUUAAUAAUUAUGUAUGAUAAAUUGACAGUAAUUAAUUUUCGCAUAUGUAUAAGUGAAUAGUACUUUCAAAGUAGGAAUCAUGUCAGAAAGAUCAGUUUCUUCAGAUCUUGUUACACAAAAUCAGCCUAGAAAAGUUAAAAAAUUUUAUCACAAGGCUAAUAAAAACAAAAAUAGACAGAUAUCUAAGAGGGAAACUUUUAAUGAACAACCAGUGCUUAUUGAUGAUGAAAAGGGAAAGGAAGGGGAAAGUAAAGAAGAAAUCAAAGCUCGGAGAGCUAAAGUCCCAAAAGAAAAAGAUACAUUUCCACAACAUAUUCCUGAAACAGAAAUUGACAAACUUUUAAGAAAUGAAAAUUCCAAUGAAACACAAUACAUAGAAGGGCAGUUACGUGUCAAUCGCUGGAAUCGUGAAUAUGCUUAUUUAUCUUUCUCUGAUGAUCAAUGCGAUCUAUUAAUCAUUGGCUUAAGGGAUAGAAAUCGAGCUUUUGAUGGUGAUUUUGUUGUAGCACGUAUAAAUCAGCCAGAAAAAUGGAAAAUGCAUCAAGGAUACAAUCAAAAAACAGGUGUUGUUGUUUAUAUACGAGAGAAAAUACAUCCAAGAAGAACAAUUGGAUACUUCAAAGAAAAUGGUAAACUUUUUUAUCCCAGAGAUCGUCGUGUACCAUUAGUUAAGAUAAGUAAGAAAUCCUUGCAACAGUUUGGCGUGUGUCAAAAUUAUAAAGACAUAUUAUAUUUGGUUGUUAUAACUGACUGGAGAAAGCCAAAGUUUGCAGUUGGGCAAAUUGAAAAAAUAAUUGGAAGUAUUGGCGAUAUAAAAGCAGAAUCAAAUGCAAUAUUACUUGAAUAUGAUUUAGAUGUUACACCUUAUAGCCUAGAUGUAACGAAGGAACUUCCAAGUAGUGAUUAUUCUUUAACAGAAAAUGAUAUUAAAGACAGAGAGGACUGGAAAGAUGAAUGCAUAUUUACUAUCGAUCCUGAUACUGCUGUUGACUUAGAUGACUCAGUCUCUUGCAAACCUUUGGAAAAUGGAAAUUAUGAAAUUGGUGUGCAUAUAUCAGAUGUUACUCAUUAUGUAGAAUUCUUAUCUCCAUUGGAUAUUCAGGUUUCAAAACGAGCUACAACUAUAUAUAUGGCAGAUAACAUAUAUCACAUGUUACCAAAAGAAUUAUGUCAAGUAUGUUCUUUGUCACCUGGUCAAGAUAAAUUGGCUUUUUCUGUUAUUUGGGAAAUGACGCAAGAUGCAAGAGUUGUUAAUUAUCGUUUUGCUAAAACUGUAAUAAGAUCAUGCUGUCAAAUGUCUUACCAGCAUGUUCAGAAAAUGAUUGAAAAUCCAGAAUAUAAUUGGCCAGAUAACUCUAUAAAUAUAGAUGGAAAUUACAAGCUUAAUGAUUUGUCAAUAAAAGUAAACAUUUUACACAAUUUAGCUAUUCAAAUGCGUAAGAGAAGAUUUCAAAAUGGUGCGCUACGAAUAGAUCAACCAAAAUUAUGUGUCAAGGUUGAUAGAAUUACGGGUUUACCAAUAUCGUACAAUAUAGAAGAACAGCAAGAUAGUAACAGACUUAUAGAAGAGUUUAUGUUGUUAGCUAAUAUGACAGUUGCUACACACUUAUACAAUGUAAUUCCGGAGACUGCUCUAUUACGCAACCAUAGAGAGCCCUCAAAACGUAUUUUAAGUACGACGCAAGAAAUGCUGCAAAAAUUUGGCAUUCAUUUAGACAUUAAAUCGUCUACAUCUUUGCACGCUAGUAUGAAACGUUGUGAAGAAGCAUUAGAAACUGAAGACGAUGAAAGAAGAAUAAUAAUGAAAUAUAGGAUGAUGGUUGUCAACAAUCUUUGUUCCAGAGCUAUGACUCGAGCUACCUACAUAUGUUCGUCUACAGUGAAAGCAGAGGAGGAAUUGAGACAUUAUGCUUUAAACAUAUCGGUUUAUACGCAUUUUACGUCCCCAAUUAGACGAUAUUCCGAUUGUGUUGUACAUCGUUUACUUUAUUCAACUUUAAGAAAUAUAGACAUGCCUAAAGAAUGGACUGAAAGUCUUUGCAAAUCACAGAAUAGCGGCAAAUUGUAAUAUAAAGAAAUAUAAUGCGAAAAUGGCACAAGAGCGAAGUAACGAAUUGUACUUUACGUAUUUGAUAGAUUUAAAGGGUCCUAUUGUUACAAUGGUUAGAAAAUUUGGCACUCGUCGAAUAUUCUUCGGAAUGUUCCAUUCCAACGAUAAACAUCUCUUGGAAACAACCUGCUAUUACUCA